AGAAUGAUGCCUGCAAGGUGUCUGAAAGAUUUUUUGGAAAUAUUUUACGAAACUUUCGCUGAAAGAUUUCAAAACUUAUCGUGUUAUGUGGGACUGUUGGAUGUUGCUCUCACAUUGCUGCUAUCAUAUAUUAUUUAUCUUACGCUCGAUAUUUGGCGAAAAUUGUAAGACUUGCUGAGAUCCUGAGUCGCCUGUUCAUCGAUGAAAAAAUUAGUGUCGUAGUGAAUGAAGACAGUGAUGAAGACUAAUAUAGUUACAUCUUUUAUUAUAAUUUUUAUUUUUGUUGCAUAAGGUUUAGAAUAAUAUCUAACCGUAUAAAAAAUAUAUAAGUACCAUUUUUAAGUGUAUUUUCAAUAAUCAAUAACCCUUCUAAUUACGUUAGACGGAAUAUAUCUUAAUUGUUUUAUAAUAAUCUUUAUGUUUAUUUCUGGCAAAGUGUAUUUUGAGUGAAAAAUUUUUUCACAUUUUUUUUAACUAAAAAAAAUAUAAGUUAGUUAAAACUUGAGAUUUUUCUGAAGAAAAUUCACAAUAUGAUAAGUGCCCAUCUGGCGAUGAUACCUGGCGUUCGUAUCAAAAAGCAAAAGCUUAUAAAACUUUUGAUUUUUAUAAACAUAAAAAUUCAAUUCCUGUAAUUGUUCAAGAAGUAAUUAAACCGGUGUACGAUAGAUUAACUGAUACCGAUUUAUUGGAACGUUAUUUGGAAGGAUAUACCCAAGAUAUCAGUGAAAGUCUGAACGCUGUAAUUUGGUCUAUGGCUCCAAAAGUACAUUACAAUGGGACAAAAAUUAUUGAAAUUGCAUUUAUACACUAUAAAACAUACACUAUACUAGUGUAUUAUAUAUAAUACAAUUAUUAAAACUAGAAAUCGGCCUAAAUGCGCUGCAAUUAGUUGAAAAGUUGGAUUCUCAACGAAUAUCUAUAGCUGACAUAAGAGCGCAACGGAAGACUAAAGAGGCCAGAAAAUUAAAAAGAGCAACACAAAAGGAAUCAGAGGACAUCACAGCAAUAAUAGAAGACCUCAUGUACGAUUCAGGAAUCUCAAAUUAAAAAACAUCUGUUAAGACUUACUGUAAAAGGUGGCGGUGGAUCUGUAUUGGUACGGAGUGCAAUGACUAUAAACGGUACGGGCCCUAUUCACCACGUCGAAGGUAUUAUGAACAAAUUUAAAAAAAAAA